rnacentral:rRNA from 1 species
CCGCACGGGUGAGUAACACGUAUGCAAUCCACCUGUAACAGGGGGAGUAACCCGGAGAAAUCCGGACUAAUACCCCAUAAUAUGGGCGCUCCGCAUGGAGAGUCCAUUAAAGAGAGCAAUUUUGGUUACAGACGAGCAUGCGCUCCAUUAGCCAGUUGGCGGGGUAACGGCCCACCAAAGCGACGAUGGAUAGGGGUUCUGAGAGGAAGGUCCCCCACAUUGGAACUGAGACACGGCCCAA